rnacentral:rRNA from 1 species
UACGAAGGGGGCUAGCGUUGUUCGGAAUUACUGGGCGUAAAGCGCACGUAGGCGGACAUUUAAGUCAGGGGUGAAAUCCCGGGGCUCAACCCCGGAACUGCCUUUGAUACUGGAUGUCUGGAGUAUGGAAGAGGUGAGUGGAAUUCCGAGUGUAGAGGUGAAAUUCGUAGAUAUUCGGAGGAACACCAGUGGCGAAGGCGGCUCACUGGUCCAUUACUGACGCUGAGGUGCGAAAGCGUGGGGAGCAAACAGG